GUUUGUGUGUGUGGGCGUGUGUGCGCGUGUGUGUUCAUACAGGUUUGUUGUAUCAGACUGUUAUGAACUGCAACACGUGUAAAUAUGAGCAACGUACGUGCUUGCCUGCCACACCUCCUCAAGACUGUGAAGGCCAUCGUGUGGAGGCAGAGGAGGGGGAUCAGGUGGUUCUUGACUGCUUCCUGCCCUGGCACAGUCUGCUCUCUGGGCACACAGAGUACCACUACUCCUGGAGACCCGGCGUACAAAACGUGACGUCUGAAGAUGAGUUUCAGGGCCUGGUGGUGACGUCCGACUCGAACAUAGUCCUGAAUCAGCUGGAGGUGGGCGAGCAGGGUGUGUACCUCUGCCUCCUACAGGACAAAAACGGUACUGUCUUCUCCCGGACUCAUUUCACGCUCACAGUGUCCGCUCUGCCCUUGUCCACCCCUCGUCCAGUCCUGACUCCGCCCUCUGUGCCGAGGCCGACUGAUGGUGCGAAGCUGCAUCCAGACACCCUCAUCAUCACCCUGGGCCUCCUCUCCGCCCUCAGUCUGGCUGCCAGUCUCACACUGCUCGUCACCCUCGGGUGAGAAACUGCCAGUCUCACACUGCUCGUCACCCUCGGGUGAGAAACUGCCAGCCUCACACUGCUCGUCACCCUCGGGUGAGAAACUGCCAGUCUCACACUGCUCAUCACCCUCGGGUGAGAAACUGCCAGUCUCACACUGCUCAUCACCCUCGGCACGAUAGCGAUGCGACAGAGUCUCCGGAAAGAGAAGCGGAGAGGUGGAGGGGAGCAGGAGGAGGAGAGGCUCGAGCUGAUGACACCGGCAGAGAGAUAGCACAGAGUGAAAGAAAAUGUCAUUCUUCUACAACUGGCCUCAUUGUUUUUUCUUGCAGCCUACACAAACGCCUACACACUGUUUCAGAACUGUUUUAAAAAUGAGAAGAACAAACUUAGCUUUGCUACAUAAUUUCUGGUAAUGAAAGGGCAUUUUACAAGAUAAUACCUAU
ensembl:lncRNA